UGUCCCCUGCGGUGUUCGUCAGAUUCAUAAUUCUUUGAACCAAUGAGCUAAUGCUUAGGUUGCGCCCCAUCAAAGUUACUGUUGUGAGCGUCCCCUGCGGACGCACCUGAUGUAACCGGGAACCGACCCUCUUGAACCCCGGUUCAAGAUAUUGAGUCAACGGCACAGGCGGGGGACUC
rfam:Sideroxydans lithotrophicus ES-1, complete genome.